ensembl:lncRNA
UGUAAGCAUCCAUCACAGCUGGCGUGGAAACCUGGAGGUUCCCUCCAGAUUUCACAACGCUUUCUUUCCACUCUCUUUGUGUUUCAGGUCUUGGAUCUCUUCCUGGGCUCCUGCACUCUGAUAUCCAUCUCACCCGCUUGUAAGCAUCCAUCACAGCAGGCGUGGAAACCUGGAGGUUCCCUCCAGAUUUCACAAUGCUUUCUUUCCACUCUCCUUGUGUUUCAGGUCUUGGAUUUCUUCCUGGGCUCCUGCACUCUGAUAUCCAUCUCACCCGCUUCUAAGUAUCCAUCACAGCUGGCGUGGAAACCUGGAGGUUCCCUCCAGAUUUCACAACGCUUUCUUUCCAAUCUCCUUAUGUUUCAGGUCUUGGAUCUGUUCCUGGGCUCCUGCACUCUGAUAUCGUUGGGUUACUUAACGUAAUCCCUGGU